AUUGAACGCUGGCGGCAGGCCUAACACAUGCAAGUCGAGCGGAUCGGCGGUCGGGUGCGUAAUGCCUAUGAAUCUGCCUCGUCGUGGGGGAUAACGUUCGGUAACGGGCGCUGAUACCGCAUCCUCUCGGAUGAGCCUAUGUCGGGUUGGCUAGUGGGUGGGGUAAAGGCCUACCAAGGCGACGAUCCGUACCUGGUCUGAGAGGAUGAUCAGUCACACUGGAACUGAGACACGGUCCAGACUCCUACGGGAGGCAGCAGUGGGGAAUAUUGGACAAUGGGCGAAAGCCUGAUGCAGCCAUGCCGCGUGUGUGAAGAAGGUCUUCGGAUUGUAAAGCACUUUAAGUUGGGAGGCGUUACCAACAGAAUAAGCACCGGCUAACUUCGUGCCAGCAGCCGCGGUAAUUC
rnacentral:rRNA from 1 species